UACGGAGGAUGCAAGCGUUAUCCGGAAUGAUUGGGCGUAAAGCGUCCGCAGGUGGCAAUGUAAGUCUGCUGUUAAAGAGUCUAGCUCAACUAGAUAAAAGCAGUGGAAACUACAUAGCUAGAGUACGUUCGGGGCAGAGGGAAUUCCUGGUGUAGCGGUGAAAUGCGUAGAGAUCAGGAAGAACACCGGUGGCGAAGGCGCUCUGCUAGGCCGUAACUGACACUGAGGGACGAAAGCUAGGGGAGCGAAUAGG
rnacentral:rRNA from 1 species